GCUGAACUCGGAGAGCCUCUCCCCGCAGCUGCUUUCGCUGCUGCAUCUCUGCAGAUCAUCAAUAUUCAUGUGCUUCAUCAGCAGAGCCGCUGGAAAGAGCCCUGGGAAUGCUGAGCGGGAUCCGGCUCGGGAAAAUCCUUCGCUGUGGGGUCAGGGAGGCGAGUGUUUGCCACGAGAGGGGGAUGCGAGCCCGCGGAGGGAGGGCAAGCGCGGGGGCUGGGGUGGCUCGGGGUUUGCCAGGGAUGGCUUGCCAGGGGUGGCUCAGGGUUUGCCAGGGGUGGUAUAGGGUUUGUUCAGGGUUUGCCAGGGAUAGUUUAAGGUUUGCCAGGGAUGGUUUGCCAGGGAUGGUUUAGGGUUUGUUCAGGGUUUGUCAGGGAUGGUUCAGGGUUUGUCAGGGGUGGUUUAGGGUUUGUCAGGAAUGAUUCAGUGUUUGUCAAGAGUGGUUUAGGGUUUGUCAGGGGUGGUUCAGGGUUUGUCAGGAAUGAUUCAGUGUUUGUCAAGAGUGGUUUAGGGUUUGUCAGGGAUGGUUCAGGGUUUGUCAGGGGUGGUUCAGGGUUUGUCAGGAAUGAUUCAGUGUUUGUCAAGAGUGGUUUAGGGUUUGUCAGGGAUGGUUCAUGGUUUGUCAGGAGUGGUUCAGGAUUUGCCAGGGAUGGUUUAGGGUUUGUUCAGGGUUUGUCAGGGAUGGUUCAGGGUUUGUCAGGGGUGGUUCAGGGUUUGUCAGGAAUGAUUCAGUGUUUGUCAAGAGUGGUUUAGGGUUUGUCAGGGAUGGUUCAGGGUUUGUCAGGGGUGGUUCAGGGUUUGUCAGGAAUGAUUCAGUGUUUGUCAAGAGUGGUUUA
rnacentral:lncRNA from 1 species